CAAGGAAGACUAGUGUUAUUCAUCUUAAUUAGGUUUAAAGGGUACCUAGACAGUAUUUCUAGCCUCAAAAGGGGAACAGACUUACUAGAGUUUUAUGGGAGAGGAAAAUAUUAGAACCAUUGGAGUAGAGAUAAAAAUGUUUUGAUACUAAUGGGACGGAUAGCGGCGAAGGCAAACCUCUAUGUAAUAACUGACGUUGAGGGGCGAAGGCUUGGGGAGCGAAUAGGAUU
rnacentral:rRNA from 1 species